rnacentral:rRNA from 1 species
UGCCUUAGUAGCGGCGAGUGAAGCGGCAAAAGCUCAAAUUUGAAAUCUGGCACUUUCAGUGUCCGAGUUGUAAUUUGAAGAAGGUAUCUUUGGGUCUGGCUCUUGUCUAUGUUUCUUGGAACAGAACGUCACAGAGGGUGAGAAUCCCGUGCGAUGAGAUGACCCAGACCUAUGUAAAGUUCCUUCGAAGAGUCGAGUUGUUUGGGAAUGCAGCUCUAAGUGGGUGGUAAAUUCCAUCUAAAGCUAAAUAUUGGCGAGAGACCGAUAGCGAACAAGUACAGUGAUGGAAAGAUGAAAAGAACUUUGAAAAGAGAGUGAAAAAGUACGUGAAAUUGUUGAAAGGGAAGGGCUUGAGAUCAGACUUGGUAUUUUGUAUGUUACUCUUUCGGGGGUGGCCUCUACAGUUUACCGGGCCAGCAUCAGUUUGGGCGGUAGGAGAAUUGCAAAGAAAUGUGGCACUGCUUCGGUAGUGUGUUAUAGUCUUUGUCGAUACUGCCAGCCUAGACUGAGGACUGCGGCUUCGGCCUAG